rnacentral:rRNA from 1 species
CUGGUUGAUCCUGCCAGUAGUCAUAUGCUUGUCUCAAAGAUUAAGCCAUGCACGUGUAAGUAAAAGCUUAGCUAAGGUGAAACCGCGAAUGGCUCAUUAAAUCACACCUAAUCUACUGGAAAGUUAAACAGUUACUUGGAUAACUGAGCUAAUUGUUGAGCUAAUACAUGCGAAAAUCCCCGACGCAAGGAGGGGAGCUUUUAUUAGAUCAAAACCAGACGGCUUUCGGGCCGAAUCUCUCUGGUGACUCUGAAUAACUUUGGGCUGAUCGUAUUGCCUUGUGCAGACGACGUUUCCUUCGAAGGUGUGCCCUAUCACCUGUCGACUGUGAUAUAGACGCUCACAGUGGUUUUGACGGGUAACGGGGAAUCAGGGUUCGAUUCCGGAGAGGGAGCCUUAAAAACGGCUACCACAUCCAAGGAAGGCAGCAGGCACGCAAAUUACCCAAUGACCGAAGGUCGAGGUAGUGACGAAAAAUAACGAUACCGGACUCAUCCGAGGCCCGGUAAUUGGAAUGAGUACACUUUAAAACCGUUCCCGAGGAACAAUUGGAGGGCAAGUCUGGU